rnacentral:rRNA from 1 species
CAGUAGCGUAUCUUAAAGUUGUUGCAGUUAAAAAGCUCGUAGUUGGAUUUGUGGCGUACGGUGUGUUCCGGGCACUUGUUGUCUGAGUAACCUGCUGUUGCCAUCCUUGGGUGGAACCUGUGUGGCAUUAGGUUGUCGUGCAGGGGAUGCCCAUCAUUUACUGUGAAAAAAUUAGAGUGUUCAAAGCAGGCUUAUGCCGUUGAAUAUAUUAGCAUGGAAUAAUGAGAUAGGACUUUUUUGCUAUUUUGUUGGUUUGCGCAAAGAGGUAAUGAUUAAUAGGGACAGUUGGGGGUAUUCGUAUUCCAUUGUCAGAGGUGAAAUUCUUGGAUUUUUGGAAGACGAACUACUGCGAAAGCAUUUACCAAGGAUGUUUUCAUUAA